CAGGGGAAAGUAUGAAUGCAGACCCCACUACCACAAAUUAUGCAGUCGAGUUUCCCACAUUUGGGGAAAUCGCAGGGUUUAGCACAUCCAGAGUGCAAUGGAUAAGCCUCGCCUGGGAAAACCACCUUGUGAUCAUGGAAUCUCCCCUGCCAGCUAAGUAU
rnacentral:snRNA from 1 species